GAACAAAGUAAAAGAGCAUCCAUCAAUAAUUUACACAAAAGGAAAUCCGUCUUCCUUUUUAUCACAAUCACCAUAAAUCCAGGCAAAAUAAGGGUUGGACAUACCUGAACUUUUGGGAAGCCUGAAAGGAAGUUAUUCAGAGCUGCAGGAACGGCAAUGUAAAUGUUACACUGGAUUCUGCCCCCAACUAUAAAGAAUCUGUCUGAAGAGAAUAUUCAUAAAGCUUUGGGAAUUAUUAUGGUUAUAUGAAAUGGGCACAUUCUAACAACAUUAAGUUGUUUCCAACCGUGUUAUCUACUAUUGUGGCAAUAAACACGAGUCAAGAGUUGAAUAAUAAGAAUUCUUUUUAUCAUCAUCCUCAAUCACUGUCAUCACCAUACCACAAUGGGUAUCAUAUCUUAAAAAUAAGAAGACUUUCAUAUUCUACAGGAAGUAAUUUCAAUGUAGAUCAUAGCUUUUUAUUUUAUUUAAAAAUUUUUAGCAUUACUAAUAUGAAAAUUAUAUUUUAUUCAACCACCAGAGGGAGCUCCCAAAUAUAUGGAUUCUAAAAGGGAAGGCGUAAGUAAGUAGGCAGCUUUGUAUGUUUUAUGGUUGAAAAUCAAAGAUUUAAUCAGCUGUGUGUCAUGGUUUUGUGGGAUCACAUGUUGGGUCUUUGUAUAUCAAAUCAUACUAUAUCAUACUAUAGAUGCUACAUCAUUUUAAUUAAUAGCUAUGAAAUAAUAAUCUUGUUUUUAUGCUUUUUUUUGAAGUUUGAGUAAUUGUGUUAUUUUAACUUUAUAUUUUAAUUUUGGACAAUAUUGAUUGACAGCAUGCUUUGCAAAUAUAAUUAUACUUCACAACCUCCUCUCUUAGGUCUCAAUUUUUCUUAAGUUGUGUUUUUAUAUUGUCCAAUUUAUAAAACUCAUAUUCUUUUUCGUAACCAUAAAUUCAAUGCUGACACAUCUCCUUUUUGUAUUUAUUCGUUUUGUUGUAUUGCUUAACUUGAUAAAUGUUGAGAAGGGUCUUUGGGUUCUAGAAUCCUUGAUAUCUUUCAUGUUUGAGAAUGACUGCUUGUUGCUUUACACAUGUAUGACAUAUAGAGUGGGUAUAAUAUUGUGAGGUCAUAUUUUCUUCUUCUCAUCUAUGACUUAAUAUUCCCCCUAGGAAAAUCAAGUCUUCCAAAAUUUUUUUUUUCACUAAUAUUAUGUGGGUGUGGAAGGGGAAGGAAGGAAAUUAUCCAACUGUUUCCUGCAGGCAGAGCAAGUCCCUACAAAGCAGGUUGCCCUCAUUGAUGAGUUUUGGAUCUCUUAGAACAUCUCACCUUUUAAAUGUCUAGCAUCUUGUAAGUAUCCUUCCCAUUCAUGUUUCCUCAUAGCUUACUGAGUUCUGUCUCUCCUCUUUUAAAUGGCUUUAUUGAGAUAUAAUUGAUAAGUAAAAAACUGCACAUUUGAUGUGUGAAGUUUGAUGUAUUUGGAGGUAUGUAUACAUUGACAAUACUAUCACCACAAUCAAGAUAAUAAACAUAUCCAUUAUCUCCA
rnacentral:lncRNA from 1 species